CCAGCUUUUCCCUCUGACUAAUUUUUUUAAGUAAGGCAUGCAUGCACACACACACACACACACACACACACACACACACACACACACACACUUGCCUUACUGUGAGAGCAAACAUUAAAACAGAAGCAGACCCUAUCCAUUGGAAUCGGGACUGGCCACUGGAAGACUGGAGGUCUCUGGUCUUUGAUGUUUUAGAAGGAGCAAUUAACCUUCCACCCAUCUCCCAUACCGAGAGCUCAGGGACCUCUUACAAACUGAACUAAACUAAUCUGACUGGGCAACAACUGCCACAUUCUCUUGAUAAAAUUCAGUUGACUCCAGUGAGAAAACGUAGAUGACAUAAUCAAGACGCCCAGAGCUGCACACCCC
rnacentral:lncRNA from 1 species